GAAAAAAAGAUACACAGAAUUCACAUAGGAGUCAAAUUUGCUCUUUGCUUGGAAAAAUGGGUAGAAUGGAACUUAUCUGUGAAGCUGAAAUGAGCUUUCUACUUCUUUCUCAAAAUUUUGCAGCUGAGUGUAUGGGCCCAGUGGAGAACAGGGCUGCUAAGACCCCUGUGGCCUGAGAAAACAUCACAGUAAAGCAGAAGAAGCUCCCUCACAAGUUCUGGAAGGAGCUAGAGAGAGCUGGAGAAAAGGCAGCAGUGACAUCCUCAUCCUCCAGAGAGGGUGGACCAAUGGAAUUCACCAGAACUGAAGAGAAAGUACCCUUCAUUACACCCCUGUCCUGGAAGAUGGAGUGUGUGGUGUAAGACUGAUAAUAAAACUCUUUGUUUUAG
rnacentral:lncRNA from 1 species